rnacentral:ncRNA from 17 species
UUCUUAUCAAGAGAGGUGGAGGGACUGGCCCGAUGAAACCCGGCAACCGGCAAUAGAACGGUGCUAAUUCCAGCAGAGCAUGAUCUCUGGCAGAUAAGUU